rnacentral:rRNA from 1 species
AUUGAACGCUAGCGGGAUGCUUUACACAUGCAAGUCGAACGGCAGCGCGGACUUCGGUCUGGCGGCGAGUGGCGAACGGGUGAGUAAUGUAUCGGAACGUGCCCAGUAGCGGGGGAUAACUACGCGAAAGCGUAGCUAAUACCGCAUACGCCCUACGGGGGAAAGCAGGGGAUCGUAAGACCUUGCACUAUUGGAGCGGCCGAUACCGGAUUAGCUAGUUGGUGAGGUAACGGCUCACCAAGGCGACGAUCCGUAGCUGGUUUGAGAGGACGACCAGCCACACUGGGACUGAGACACGGCCCAGACUCCUACGGGAGGUAGCAGUGGGGAAUUUUGGACAAUGGGGGCAACCCUGAUCCAGCCAUCCCGCGUGUGCGAUGAAGGCCUUCGGGUUGUAAAGCACUUUUGGCAGGAAAGAAACGUCGCGGGCUAAUACCCCGUGGAACUGACGGUACCUGCAGAAUAAGCACCGGCUAACUACGUG